AUGAAUCACGCGCCGCCGGGCUUCCGCUUCACGCCGACGCGUGAAGAGCUCAUCCGCUACUACCUCGACCCCUGGGUGGCCGACCCGGGAAAGACGCCGGUCGCCGAGAGCCAGGGCAUCAUCUGCGUCGCCGACAUCUACGGCGAGGACCCGGCCGCCCUCACCUCGCGGCACCGGCGCUUCGGCCACGACGACGGCAACUGGUACUUCCUCUGCGUCUCGCGGUGGAAGGGUAACCGCGCAGGCGGCCGGACCAGCCGCACCGUCCAGGGCGGCGGCACGUGGCACGGGUACGGCAAGCGGGUCGCCGUCCCUGAGGCCGGGCACCGGCAGGCCUUCGAGUACCUCGACGCACGAGGACGCAAGACCGCGUGGCUCAUGGAGGAGUUCGGGACUGUGCUGCCGGCGGCCACCUAUGCCGACGGCGUCAGGGUGCUCUGCAGGGUGCACCAGACGACGAGGACGGUGGCGGAUGACGACGUGGAGGAGCGCGGGGAGUCCAGCAAGGCCGCCCGGUCUUCUAAGAGGCGGCGCCGCAUCACCGCAGAUGCAAAGGAUGAGCAGAAGCCAUUGGAGAUGCUUGCCAUGGAGGACAAGUCGGAGCCAUUGGAGAACGUCUUGGCCAAGGACGAAGCAGACUCAUGGGAGAUCCUUGCCAUGAAGGACAAGGCAGAGCCAUGGGAGAUGAUUACCAUGGACGAGCCAUCUCCACUGCAAAUGCUUACCAACAACUUGACAUGUCCACAGGAGAUGCUAACCAACAACUUGACAUUGCCACAGGAGAUACUUACCAACAACCUGCCAUGGCCACUGGAGAUGCUAACCAACAGCCUUCCAUGGCCACUGGAGAUGCUCACCAACAACUUGACAUUGCCAUUGGAGAUGCUUAGCAAGAACUUGACAUUGCCAUUGGAGAUGCUUACUAACAACUUGGCAUUGCCAUUGGAGACCCUUACCAAGAACUUGCCAGAGCCAGCCGAGACCGUUACCAAGAACUUGCCAUCUCCAUUGGAGAUCCUUGGCAAGAACUUGCCAAAGUUGGACAUCCUUACCAAAGAGGAACCCACCACGACGACGACAACCUUCGAUCAAGACUCCGGCGCGGCGAACAAAGAAGCCACCCCUAACGCGGAGAUGGAGAUGCCGGCCGAUGCAGAGUGGCACUCACACUACCCGGAACUGUUCGAGCAGAAAGAGCCUCCGCCCAUGGAAGACGUCAUGAAGCCUCUGCCGUCGCCGACGGUCCAAGAAUUCGAGCAGGGAGCCCCUCCGGCGGCGGUUGUCGAAGAAUUCGGCGGGGUUGCUUGGGGUUGGGGAGGACAUGGCCGGCGCUGCUUGGUGAGGCCUAUGUCGUUAGCUUGGAUACUACCUGGUUUUUGA
rnacentral:rRNA from 1 species